rnacentral:rRNA from 1 species
AUACGGAGGGUGCAAGCGUUACUCGGAAUCACUGGGCGUAAAGCGCGCGCAGGCGGCUUGAUAAGUUGGAUGUGAAAGCCUACGGCUCAACCGUAGAACUGCAUCCAAAACUGUCAAGCUAGAGUCUGGGAGGGGAAGAUGGAAUUAGUUGUGUAGGGGUAAAAUCCGUAGAGAUAACUAGGAAUACCAAAAGCGAAGGCAAUCUUCUGGAACACUACUGACGCUGAGGCGCGAAGGCGUGGGGAGCAAACAGGAUUAGAAACCCCGGUAGUCC